rnacentral:lncRNA from 1 species
GCCUGGAAUGGAGAAUUUUUACUCAACAGUAUACAGCAAAAUUCUAAAUACACUGUUUGGAAGUGCGCCUGUCAGAUGCGGAACGUACAGAUAAGGUAAUAGGUAACAGGUGAAUAUACUAUUGGUAUCAGUGUCGGACUCGAUCCGGAACUUCUUAAUUAUUGGCAAUAUUAAUUACGUGGAAAACAAAUGGGCCUAGAGUGGUGUAAUUUUUAAUCAACACCAUUGUACUAUAUUAGUUAUAUAUAAAGUUGAAUUCUUUGAUUCAUCGUUUUUACGUGAUGACGGCUGACAAAUUGGACCUCGUAAUUAGUAUUAUAGAU